UACGUAGGGUGCAAGCGUUAAUCGGAAUUACUGGGCGUAAAGCGUGCGCAGGCGGCUUUGCAAGACAGAUGUGAAAUCCCCGGGCUCGACCUGGGAAUUGCGUUGGAGACUGCAAGGCUAGAAUCUGGCAGAGGGGGGUAGAAUUCCACGUGUAGCAGUGAAAUGCGUAGAGAUGUGGAGGAACACCGAUGGCGAAGGGCGGCCCCCUGGGUCAAGAUUGACGCUCAUGCACGAAAGCGUGGGGAGCAAACAGG
rnacentral:rRNA from 1 species